CAACCUUUCGGGGUUGAGUGGCGGACGGGUGAGUAACGCGUGAGAAUCUGCCUUUUGGUCGGGGACAACUACUGGAAACGGUGGCUAAUACCGGAUGUGCCUUUAGGGGUGAAAGAUUAAUUGCCAGAAGAAGAGCUCGCGUCUGAUUAGCUAGUUGGUGAGGUAAAGGCUCACCAAGGCGGCGAUCAGUAGCUGGUCUGAGAGGAUGACCAGCCACACUGGGACUGAGACACGGCCCAGACUCCUACGGGAGGCAGCAGUGGGGAAUUUUCCGCAAUGGGCGAAAGCCUGACGGAGCAAUACCGCGUGAGGGAGGAAGGCUCUUGGGUUGUAAACCUCUUUUAUCAGGGAAGAACCAAAUGACGGUACCUGAAGAAUCAGCAUCGGCUAACUCCGUGCCAGCAGCCGCGGUAAUACGGAGGAUGCAAGCGUUAUCCGGAAUUAUUGGGCGUAAAGCGUCCGCAGGUGGCUCAUCAAGUCUGCUGUCAAAGGCAGGGGCUUAACCCCUGAAAGGCAGUGGAAACUGGAGAGCUAGAGUGCAGUAGGGGUAGAGGGAAUUCCCGGUGUAGCGGUGAAAUGCGUAGAGAUCGGGAAGAACAUCGGUGGCGAAAGCGCUCUGCUGGACUGCAACUGACACUAAAGGACGAAAGCUAGGGGAGCGAAUGGGAUUAGAUACCCCAGUAGUCCUAGCCGUA
rnacentral:rRNA from 1 species